AGUCGUACGCACUUUCGUUAAAUGAUUUUGAGAUGCUUGCAUCGAAGAUGAUUUUAACUAUAAAGUGAGUGGCGAACGGGUGAGUAACACGUGGGUAACCUGCCCAGAAGUGGGGGAUAACACCUGGAAACAGAUGCUAAUACCGCAUAACAAAAUUAACCGCAUGGUUGAUUUUUAAAAGAUGGCUUCGGCUAUCACUUCUGGAUGGACCCGCGGCGUAUUAGCUAGUUGGUGAGAUAAAGGCUCACCAAGGCAGUGAUACGUAGCCGACCUGAGAGGGUAAUCGGCCACAUUGGGACUGAGACACGGCCCAGACUCCUACGGGAGGCAGCAGUAGGGAAUCUUCCACAAUGGACGCAAGUCUGAUGGAGCAACGCCGCGUGAGUGAUGAAGGCUUUCGGGUCGUAAAACUCUGUUGUUGGAGAAGAACGUGUGUGAGAGUAACUGCUCAUGCAGUGACGGUAUCCAACCAGAAAGCCACGGCUAACUACGUGCCAGCAGCCGCGGUAAUACGUAGGUGGCAAGCGUUAUCCGGAUUUAUUGGGCGUAAAGCGAGCGCAGGCGGUCUUUUAAGUCUAAUGUGAAAGCCUUCGGCUUAACCGAAGAAGUGCAUUGGAAACUGGGAGACUUGAGUGCAGAAGAGGAGAGUGGAACUCCAUGUGUAGCGGUGAAAUGCGUAGAUAUAUGGAAGAACACCAGUGGCGAAGGCGGCUCUCUGGUCUGCAACUGACGCUGAGGCUCGAAAGCAUGGGUAGCGAACAGGAUUAGAUACCCUGGUAGUCCAUGCCGUAAACGAUGAAUGCUAAGUGUUGGAGGGUUUCC
rnacentral:rRNA from 1 species